rnacentral:rRNA from 1 species
CCUACGGGUGGCAGCAGUGGGGAAUAUUGCACAAUGGGGGAAACUCUGAUCCAGCGACGUAGCGUGAAUGAAGAAGGAAUUCGGUGUGUAAAGCUCUAUCUGCAGGGAAGUAAAUGACGCUACCUGAGUAAGUAGCCCCGGCUAACUACGUGCCAGCAGCGGCGGUAAUACGUAGGGGGCAAGCGUUAUCCGGAUUUACUGGGUGUAAAGGGAGCGUAGACGGCAGUGCAAGUCAGGAGUGAAAGUCUGGGGCUCAACCCCCGGACUGCACUUGAAACUGUAAGGCUGGAGUGCAGGAGAGGUGAGUGGAAUUCGUGGUGUAGCGGUGAAAUGCGUAGAUAUUAGGAAGAACACCAGUGGCGAAGGCAGUUUACUGGACUGUAACUGACGCUGAGGCUCGAAAGCGUGGGGAGCAAACAGGAUUAGAUACCCCAGUAGUC